rnacentral:rRNA from 1 species
CCUACGGGAGGCAGCAGUGGGGAAUAUUGCACAAUGGGGGAAACCCUGAUGCAGCGACGCCGCGUGAGUGAAGACGGAUUUCGGUAUGUAAAGCUCUAUCAGCAGGGAAGAAAAUGACGGUACCUGAGUAAGAAGCCCCGGCUAACUACGUGCCAGCAGCCGCGGUAAUACGUAGGGGGCAAGCGUUAUCCGGAUUUACUGGGUGUAAAGGGAGCGUAGACGGCAGCACAAGUCUGCAGUGAAAUGCCGAGGCUUAACCUCGGAACUGCUUUGGAAACUGUGCAGCUAGAGUGCAGGAGAGGUAAGUGGAAUGUCUAGUGUAGCGGUGAAAUGCGUAGAUAUUAGGCGGAACUCCGAUUGCGAAGGCAGCAUACUGGCGCUCAACUGACGCUGAGGCACGAAAGCGUGGGGAUCGAACAGGAUUAGAUACCCCAGUAGUC